rnacentral:rRNA from 1 species
GACGAACGCUGGCGGCGUUCUUAACACAUGCUAGUCGAACGGAAAUGCUCUGCUUUUGUGGGGUGCUCGAGUGGCGAACGGGUGAGUAACACGUGAGUAACCUGCCCUUUACUUUAGGAUAACUUCAGGAAACUGUGGCUAAUACCGCAUAGGAUCUCCUGCUGCAUGGUGGGUGGUUGAACGUUUCGGCGGCUGUGGAUGUACUCGCGGCUUCUCAGCUUGUUCGUGGGUUGGUGGCUUACCAAGGCUUUGACGGGUAGCCGCCCUGAGAGGGUGACCGGCUACACUGGGAAUGAGCUACCGACCACACUCCUACGGGCGGCAGCAGUGAGGACUAUUGCCCCACGGGCGGAGGCAUGCUGCACCCACGCCGCCUGCGGGAUGACGGCUGUCGGGUUGUAACCCCCCUUCGCAUCUGACGAAGCGUGAGUGACGGUAAUGGGUAAAGAAGGCCAGGCUACAUACGUG